rnacentral:rRNA from 1 species
CCCACUGCUAUCGGGGUGGGACUAAGACAUGCUAGUCGAGCGUUUCCAAGCUAUGGUGGAAGCGCGGCAUACAGCUCAGUAACACGUGGCUAACCUACCCUUGGGACGGAAAUAACCCCGGGAAACUGGGACUAAUGUGCGAUAGGUGAAGAUUCCUGGAAUGGGUUUUCGCCAAAAUGGCGCUUUGGCCAUGCUUCUAAGCGCUGCCCAAGGAUGGGGCCGCGACCGAUCAGGUUGUUGGUGAGGUAACGGCUCACCAAGCCUUUAACCGGUACGGGCCGCGAGAGCGGGAGCCCGGAGAUGGGCACUGAGACAAGGGCCCAGGCCCUACGGGGCGCAGCAGUCACGAAAACUCCGCAAUACGCGAAAGCGUGACGGGGUUACCCCGAGUGCCGUCCGCUGAGGGUGGCUUUUCCUUAAUGUACAAAGUUAGGGGAAUAAGGAGAGGGCAAGACUGGUGUCAGCCGCCGCGGUAAUACCAGCUCUCCGAGUGGUGGGGAUGUUUAUUGGGCCUAAAGCAUUCGUAGCCUGCCAGACAAGUCCCCUGUUAAAUCCAGCGACUUAAUCGUUGGGCUGCGAGGGAUACUGUCCGGCUAGGAGAUGGGAGAGGUCGACGGUAUUCCCGGGGUAGGGGUGAAAUCUUAUAAUCCCGGGAGGACCACCAGUGGCGAAGGCUGUCGACUGGAACAAGCUCGACGGUGAGGGAUGAAAGCUGGGGGAGCGAACUGGAUUAGAUACCCGGGUAGUCCCAGCUGUAAACUAUGCAGGCUAGGUGUUAGGGCGGCUACGUGCCGCUUUAGUGCCGCAGGGAAGCUGUUAAGCCUGCCGCCUGGGAAGUACGGUCGCAAGGCUGAAACUUAA